GUUAUUUUCUCCUGGGACACAUUGUAUACAGAAUUCCGUAAAGAAAAUAUACGUCCAUAAACAAAAAAAUCGAUUAAAGCACCUUCUUUCUGGCGCUUGAGUGUAUUUUGGAUUCUGAGCAUAGCGAGGAAUAUAUUGGUUUAACUAUAGUGUUUUUUUUUUUUUUUCUUUCUACAUUUUGUGUCUGUAAACAACUUUUCUCACAGAAAUUCGACUACAAUCAAAAACUUUUAAGGAACUUUCUUUGUAAUGGUGCGCUGGGAGAUCAUUUUUCUUUUUUUUUUAUUUGCGUCGUAGUUUUCUUAAUAAACGGCGAACACUGGAAAGUGUUUGGAUGAUUUUUGUUGAUUUCCGCGUUACCUCGAUAACAAGAGAAUAAAAUAUACGACUCGUGAUACUCUGCUCAAAUUCUGCUUUCAACUUCCUUCCUAAAACCGUGGCCAUAUCCAUUAGCAGUAUCAGCUUUUUUUUCUUUUUU